GGGGAUAUAGCUCAGUGGCAGAGCAUCUGCCUGCCAAGCACAAGGUUGUGAAUGUUGUACUCUAAGAAAAUAGCUUCGUUCUAUGUGUAUUAUAGCAAACAUGCAACGUGGCUUACUAAAUGUGUUUUUUUAUCCUUU
rnacentral:tRNA from 1 species